GUUAGGAAUAUUGGACAAUGGGCGAAAGCCUGAUCCAGCCAUGCCGCGUGAACGAUGAAGGCCUUCGGGUUGUAAAGUUCUUUAGCCGAUGAUUAUAAUGACUGUAGUCGGAAAAUAAGCCCCGGCUAACUUCGUGCCAGCAGCCGCGGUAAUACGAAGGGGGCGAGCGUUAUUCGGAAUCACUGGGCGUAAAGCGUGCGUAGGCGGUUUUGUAAGUUAGGAGUGAAAGCCCAGGGCUCAACCUUGGAAUUGCUCUUAAAACUGCAAUGCUCGAAUCUCGGAGAGGAUAGCGGAAUUUCCAGUGUAGCAGUGAAAUGCGUAGAUAUUGGAAGGAACACCAGUGGCGUAAGCGGCUAUCUGGACGAGUAUUGACGCUGAGGCACGAAAGCGUGGGGAUCAAACAGGAUUAGAUACCCCUGUAGUCC
rnacentral:rRNA from 1 species